rnacentral:rRNA from 1 species
GAGUUGAUCAUGGCUCAGAACGAACGCUGGGCGGCAGGCCUAACACAUGCAAGUCGAACGCCCCGCAAGGGGAGUGGCAGACGGGUGAGUAACGCGUGGGAACGUACCUUUCGGUUCGGAAUAGACCCGGGAAACUGGGAUUAAUACCCGGAUACGUCCUUAGGGAGAAAAGAUUUAUCGCCGAAAGAUCGGCCCGCGUCUGAUUAGCUAGUUGGCGGUGUAAUGGACCACCAAGGCGACGAUCAGUAGCUGGUCUGAGAGGAUGAUCAGCCACACUGGGACUGAGACACGGCCCAGACUCCUACGGGAGGCACGCAGUGGGGAAUAUUGGACAAUGGGACGCAAGCCUGAUCCAGCCAUGCCGCGUGAGUGAUGAAGGCCUUAGGGUUGUAAA